GGGAGUGAAAUAGAACCUGAAACCCUGCACUUACAAGCUGUGGAAGCACAUUUCUUGUGUGACCGCGUACUUUUUGUAGAACGGGCCAACGAGUUACGUUAAGUAGCAAGGUUAAGCACUUAAGGUGUGGAGCCGUAGCGAAAGCGAGUUUUAACUGAGCGUUCAGUUACUUGACGUAGACCCGAAACCGGGCGACCUACCCAUGAGCAGGAUGAAGCGAAAGUAAAAUUUCGUGGAGGUCCGAACCCACGAGCGUUGAAAAGCUCGGGGAUGACUUGUGGGUAGCGGUGAAAUUCCAAUCGAGCCCGGAGAUAGCUGGUUCUCCCCGAAAUAGCUUUAGGGCUAGCCUCAAGGUGAGAGAUACGGAGGUAGAGCACUGAAUGUCCUAGGGGGUAUUGCACCUACCGAAGACUAUCAAACUCCGAAUGCCGUCAUCUUAUACUUGGGAGUCAGACUGUGGGUGAUAAGAUUCAUAGUCGAAAGGGCAACAGCCCAGAUCGUCAGCUAAGGUCCCUAAAUGUAAGUUAAGUGGUAAAGGAUGUGGGAUUGCACAGACAACCAGGAUGUUGGCUUAGAAGCAGCCACUCAUUCAAAGAGUGCGUAAUAGCUCACUGGUCGAGUGAUCCUGCGCCGAAGAUUUCCGGGGCUAAAACUUACUACCGAAGCUACGGCAUCAGUAAUGAUGGGUAGGGGAGCUUCCCAUACGGGUUGAAGCAUGACCGUAAGGACAUGUGGACAGUAUGGGAGUGAGAAUGUUGGCAUGAGUAGCGAGAUGUGGGUGAGAAUCCCACAGGCCGUAAACCCAAGGUUUCCAGGGGAAGGUUCGUCCGCCCUGGGUUAGUCGGGACCUAAGCUGAGGCCGAAAGGCGUAGGUGAUGGACAACAGGUUGAUAUUCCUGUACUACCGAUAACCGUUUGAGAGAAGGGAUGACACAGUAGGAUAAGCUAAGCACACUGUUGGUUAUGUGUGCCCAAGCA
rnacentral:rRNA from 1 species